rnacentral:rRNA from 1 species
GAUGAACGCUGGCGGCGUGCUUAACGCAUGCAAGUCGAACGGACGGAUUGGAGCUUGCUCCAUGAAGUUAGUGGCGGACGGGUGAGUAACGCGUGGGUAACCUGCCCUAUGCAGGGGGAUAACGUUUGGAAACGAACGCUAAUACCGCAUAAUCUAGUUGGUUCGCAUGAACUGAUUAGCAAAGAUUUUAUCGGCAUAGGAUGGACCCGCGUUAGAUUAGCUAGUUGGUGAGAUAACAGCCCACCAAGGCAACGAUCUAUAGCCGGCCUGAGAGGGUGAACGGCCACACUGGGACUGAGACACGGCCCAGACUCCUACGGGAGGCAGCAGUGGGGAAUAUCGCACAAUGGGCGCAAGCCUGAUGCAGCGACGCCGCGUGAAGGAUGAAGGUCUUCGGAUCGUAAACUUCUAUCAGCAGGGAAGAAACCAUGACGGUACCUGACUAAGAAGCCCCGGCUAACUACGUGCCAGCCGCCGCGGUAACAC